rfam:Arabidopsis thaliana chromosome 5, complete sequence.
AAGCCAUGAUGCGGGCAGUCCCGUUGAUACUCCUUGAAGCGAACCCAAGCGGCCUUGAAAGCUUCAGCUGGACCUUGUGUGAAGGUAGACAGCUUGUUUCUCAGCUC